rnacentral:lncRNA from 1 species
CUUUUUUCACUUAUAUUCUGUAACAUAGAGUGAGGAGUUCAUAUGCCUUUUAAAAGAGUUGUAGGUUUAGCUUCACAUGAAUUCAGGGGACCUAUGACUUGUUAGCUGGCUCAGAAAUUGGUCAGUUAUCCUUUUCUUAAGGGUCCUGGAAUAGUCAUGCUAAUGUUACACUGAUCCAACCUGAAGGGUAUAUUAAGUAGUGAAUUUUAAAACUACAGAAAUACAGAAAAACGUGUAAGAAAAAUGACUUAUAGAAUUUGGGGAACAUAUAUAACAAUUUAUAUAUUGUUAUAAAACAAUUUGUGGGGUCCAGUAUGUGUAAUCAAGUCCUUCUGGCCUGUAACUGUGAGGCUUUUUCCCAUAAUUCUCUAGAAGCCAGUCAUCUAAUUAUACAAUGUUGUUUACCUUCUCCACACUUGAUUUCUUUAUACCCUUCAUUUUGUAAUUGUAUCAUUUGUCUAGGAAGUUCUUGGCCAUAUAACUUACUUUGGUUUUUCCCUCUGUAUAGGUUCUCUGCCUCCCUUUUUGAGUUUAACAAUAUUUGUUGAACAUUUUCCAAGUAAAUACUGCUCACGUUGGCCAACAUCUGCCUAAAUUCAGUGCUUGCAUGACAUUAUUAGGUAGAUUUCUU